UACGAAGGGGGCUAGCGUCGCUCGGAAUCAUUGGGCGUAAAGCGCGUGUAGGCGGCCCGAUUAGUCCGCUGUGAAAGUCCAGGGCUCAACCCUGGGAUGCCGGUGGAUACUGUCGGGCUCGAGUCCGGAAGAGGCGAGUGGAAUUCCUGGUGUAGCGGUGAAAUGCGUAGAUAUCAGGAGGAAUACCGAUGGCGAAGGCAGGUCUCUGGGCUGACACUGACGCUCAUGCACGAAAGCGUGGGGAGCAAACAGG
rnacentral:rRNA from 1 species